GACGAACGCUGGCGGCGUGCUUAACACAUGCAAGUCGAACGGAAAGGCCCUGCUUUUGUGGGGUGCUCGAGUGGCGAACGGGUGAGUAACACGUGAGUAACCUGCCCUUGACUUUGGGAUAACUUCAGGAAACUGGGGCUAAUACCGGAUAGGAGCUCCUGCUGCAUGGUGGGGGUUGGAAAGUUUCGGCGGUUGGGGAUGGACUCGCGGCUUAUCAGCUUGUUGGUGGGGUAGUGGCUUACCAAGGCUUUGACGGGUAGCCGGCCUGAGAGGGUGACCGGCAAAAUGGGGGCUGAAAUACGGCCAAGCCUCCUACGGGAGGCAGAAGUGGGGAGUGUUGCACAAUGGGCGGAAGCCUGAUGAAGAACCGCGGGGGGGGGGAUAAGGGCCUGCGGGUUAUAACCCGCUUCCGCCUGAAGAGAAGGGGGAGGGACGGAAGUGGGAAAAGAGGCACGGGCAAACUACGUG
rnacentral:rRNA from 1 species